UUCACCUGCUCUCUCUCUUUAAAAGGAAAACUUGGGAUAUAGGAAAGGAGAAGGGGAGAAGAAGGGAGAGAGAGAGAGAGAGAGAGAGAGAGAGAGAGAGAGAGAGAGAGAGAGAGAGAGAGAGAGAGAGAGAGAGAGAAAGUCAGUCAGUCCUUUGCCCAUCCUAAUUCUUUGAAAUCAGUCGGGAAAUAAACCGACCUGGAAAGUGAUUGAAGCAGCAGAGACGAGGUGUUCCCGAGAGGCUUUGGCCUCUCUGCAUCCCCAUUCCUGCCCACUAAAGCCCAGACAGUGGUGUGCUGCAGCCCCAGGAGCCAGCUCUGCCAGCGCCAGGGUUCUACUCUCCCAUCCGGGGAAAUCGCCUGAGCCCAGGCUUGGCAAAGACUCCGGCUCAGUCCAAUCCACGUCCUGGCUUGCAGAGGAUAAUCCGGUCCAGUGUUUAUUUUUAGCAGCGCUUCCCUGUGACCAAGCUGCGAGAGCAGCGGUUCUGGACCAGCCCGGUGGUACUGGGGAAGGGAGGGGGGCCGAAGAGGAUCAGGGAGGCAGGCAGGUGGGAGGGGGCCGCUUGGCGCAUGCGCGCCGCGCCUAUGCAAAUCAGGACCGAGCCUGAACACAGCUGAGUGGGCUGAUCUGCCACUCCACCUGCGGCAGCACCACGCUUGGCGGACAGCUCCCAGAUCCCGGCUCCGGCUCCCAGCAGCUGCUGCCCAUUCAGGUGCAGCCCGCCUUCCUUCUCCCCCUGCAUCAGCAUCAGCAGCAGUAACAGCAGCAGCAGCCCCAGCUGGACUCAGUGUCCUCUGGGGCUUUCUUUCAGCUCCAAGGGUUAAGACGUCCAUCCAUCCACCCAUCCUUAAACCAGCCCCAGAAGAAGAAAGCAGCACCGGUGCCCUCCCGCCCUCGCCCUCCUCGUCCUCGUCCUCCUCCUCGUCCUCGUCCUUCUAGUCCCGGGCUCGGGGACUGCCGGCGAUCCCAAAGGGGCCUCGUCUUCUGCAAGUUGUACUGAAGUUCCUGACACUCCAGAGGGACCGAGAUGG
rnacentral:lncRNA from 1 species